rnacentral:tmRNA from 1 species
GGUGUUGACCGAGUUCGGAGCGGAGUCUAUGUAUUGAAUGUCUUCAGAGGAGACGACGGAGACUAUGACAGUAGACGGAAGACGUAGAUAGCGGUUGAGACCGGGGAUGCGAAGCCCCGCACCUCCACCAUAAGCACACCUGGUCCGGGAUAGUCGGUAGCGACAGAGACCCCGGAUAUUCGAAGGGGCGGGUUCCGGCCCAAGAACUUGGGGUGUGUUUUUGAUGGGGGUGAAUUAGGAUCGAUCAGGCGCAAAGGGGUCAACUUGCUGUUCGGCAUGAUACCGCCGUUAUCGGGUCACCAGAGUAGUUGCAAACGAUAACAACGCUCAGGUUCGUGCUCUCGCUGCCUAACCGCAGCGCGGGAGAACCGCACCAAGUCCUCUAGGUUAGCCCCUUGAGGCGGGGUCCCUGGGUACCUGGCAACAGAAACCCAGGAUU